CCUUUUCUUGCUGCCUUUGACUUCCCUUUGCUUCCUCGAUCAAAAUGGUGCUUUCACCCUCUCAAAAUCAAAGAAGGAAAAGUGAUAUACACAUAUAUGAGUUGAGGCUGGAUUGAUGACAUCUGCUUAAAGUUCUUUGAGUCCUUAAUGACAUUCAGUCUGAAAAGGGGAAAGUUGAAGGCAAUUUCAAGAUUCUACCCUCAAAAGGAAGAUCUUCAUGGCUUUACAUGCUGAAGAAAACCAGCUAAAGAUAUUAUCAGAAAAGAAGUGGGUAGAAGAAUUUAAAACAAAAACCAGAAACCAAACCAAUAACUGGAAGCAGAUUUUCGGUCAAUAUCCCGAUACUACUACCACUACUGCCACCCCACCACCAAUAACAAGAAGGACAACAACAGUCAAGCUUCACUUUUAUCAUGCCAGAAAGGUUCCCAAUGCUUUAUAAUAAAUUAUGUACAAAUGUAGUGGUUUCUCCAUAUAUGUAGAUCACCUAUAUUAUUUUUUACUUAACAUAUUUUUUAAAAUGGGUGUAGCCCAAAUAUUCCUAUUUACUUAAGCCUCCUCUUGAGAGUUGUUAUCCUUGAAAGAAUGGAUAUGUUUUUAUUGCCAUUUUGUCACUUUUUCCUUUUUUGGGGUAUUUUAGUAGUUCUUCUCAGUUCCUUUCUUUUUCUCUUGCUCUCUUCCCUUGUGGUUUGAUGGCUAUCUUUAGUAAUUUGUUUGAUUUCUUUUGUCUUACUUUUUUUCCUGCUUGUUAUAGGUUUCUGGUUUGUGGUUACCAUGAAGAUCCUAUUUAAUAUACUAUGCAUAUAACAGUCUAUAUAGAGUAGAUAGACUCUUUAGCUUGACCUCUUUCUAAAAUCUCUACUUUUCCACUCCCCCCUCCCACAUUAUAUGUUUUUCACAUCAUAUGUAGUCUUUUGCUUAGUGUGUGUCUUUCCAUUACCCUCUUAUCAUUGAAAUAGGUGAUUUUAGUACAUUUGUCUUUUAACCUUCAUAUUAUCUUCACAGGUAGUUGAUCUGUUGCCUUUACCAUAUUUUUACCUUACAAGUGAUUUUAUUGCCUGUUUUUUGUUGUUGUUGUUUUGGGUUUUUUUGAUAAUUUUUUGUUAUCUCUAUUUGUGGUCAUUGCUUUCCCACUUAAAUAAGUCCCUGCAGCAUUUCUUGCAGAACUGGUUUGUUGGUGAUAAACUCCUUUAAUUUUUGCUUGUCUGGGAAGCUCUUUAUCUCUCCUUCCAUUCUGAAUGACAACCUUGAUGGAUAGAGUAUUCUUGGUUGUAGGUUUUUUCCUUUUAGCACUUUAAGUAUGUCGUGCCAUUCUCUUCUCUCCUGUUGGGUCCCGGCUAUAAUUUAACAAGACAGGAAACGACAAAGUUUGGAGAGGGUGUGGAGAGAAGGGAACCUGUUCACUGCUGGUGGCAGUGCACACUCGUGCAGCCACUAUAGAAAGCAGUAUGGAGUAUCCUCAGAAAAUUAAGGAUAGAUCUACCAUAUGAUCCAGCUAUUCCACUGCUGGGUAUUUAUCCAAAGAACUUGAAAACACAAAGGCAUAAACAUACUUGCACCCCUAUGUUCAUUGUGGCAUUAUACACAAUAGACAAGACAUGGAAGCAACCUAGGUGCCUAUCAAGGGACGAAUGGAUAAAGAAGAUGUGGUAUUUAUACACGAUGGACUACUACUCAGCCAUAAGAAAUGACGAAAUCCGGCCAUUUGUGACAACAUGGAUGGACCUUGAGGGUAUUAUGCUGAGUAAAAUAAGUCAGAGGGAGAAAGUCAAAUAGCAUAUGAUCUCACUCAUAAGUACAAGAUAAAAACAACACAAAGAAUAAAAAAAACACAUAGCAUUGGAGAUUGGACUGGUGGUUACCUUUGGGG
ensembl:lncRNA